AUUGAACGCUGGCGGCAGGCCUAACACAUGCAAGUCGAACGAGUGGCGGACGGGUGAGUAAUGUCUGGGAAACUGCCUGAUGGAGGGGGAUAACUACUGGAAACGGUAGCUAAUACCGCAUACCAUCAGAUGUGCCCAGAUGGGAUUAGCUAGUUGGUGGGGUAACGGCUAACCAAGGCGACGAUCCCUAGCGGGUCUGAGAGGAUGACCAGCCACACUGGAACUGAGAAACGGCCCAGCCCCCUACGGGGGGCAGAAGUGGGGAAUAUUGCACAAUGGGCGAAAGCCUGAGGCGGCCAGGCCGGUGGUAUGAAGAAGGCCUCGGGUUGUAAAGUACUUUCAGCGGGGAGGCGUUACCCGCAGAAGAAGCACCGGCUAACUCCGUGCCAGCAGCCGCGGUAAUAC
rnacentral:rRNA from 1 species